CUGCAGCUAUAUCACGUCGAAACACUAGCUCCCGUACAAUCACCAAAGUUAAGCAACGUCGUGUCUGCACAGUACCUAGAUGGGCGACCUCUUGUGAGUACGAGUUGCUGUAA